rnacentral:rRNA from 1 species
AGUAACGGAGGAGCACGAAGGUUGGCUAAUCCUGGUCGGACAUCAGGAGGUUAGUGCAAUGGCAUAAGCCAGCUUGACUGCGAGCGUGACGGCGCGAGCAGGUGCGAAAGCAGGUCAUAGUGAUCCGGUGGUUCUGAAUGGAAGGGCCAUCGCUCAACGGAUAAAAGGUACUCCGGGGAUAACAGGCUGAUACCGCCCAAGAGUUCAUAUCGACGGCGGUGUUUGGCACCUCGAUGUCGGCUCAUCACAUCCUGGGGCUGAAGUAGGUCCCAAGGGUAUGGCUGUUCGCCAUUUAAAGUGGUACGCGAGCUGGGUUUAGAACGUCGUGAGACAGUUCGGUCCCUAUCUGCCGUGGGCGCUGGAGAACUGAGGGGGGCUGCUCCUAGUACGAGAGGACCGGAGUGGACGCAUCACUGGUGUUCGGGUUGUCAUGCCAAUGGCACUGCCCGGUAGCUAAAUGCGGAAGAGAUAAGUGCUGAAAGCAUCUAAGCACGAAACUUGCC